GAUAUGAGUAGCGAUAAACAGUGUGAAAAACACUGUCGCCUUAAGUCCUAGGUUUCCAAAACAAGGCUAAUCCGUUUUGGUAAAAUUAAUCGGUCCCUAAGAAAAUAACGAAAGUUUAAUUCGAUGGGUAAUAAAUAAAUAUUUUUUAUUUUUUAAAAGUGACAAAAGACGAAUAUUAUUUUUAUUUUAUGGUUAUAAUAAAAGUUUUAUAGUAUUUUCAAGAAACAGCUUUAAAAGUUAAAACCGUACCUAAACCGACACAGGUGGACAAAUUUAGUAAAUUAAGGCGCUUGAGAGAAUUGUGUUGAAGGAACUCGGCAAAAUGACUCCGUAACUUCGGAAGAAGGAGUAACUUUAUUAGGGCAACCUUUUAAAGUUGGCACAGAAUCGGGGACAGCGACUAGUUAUUAAAACUACAGGUCUCUGCAAAUUUGUAAAAAGAUGUAUUGAGGCUGACGCCUGCCCAGUGCUGCAAGAUUAAAGGAAGAAGUCUGUUGGCUUUGACCCUAAACCCCAGUAAACGGCGGCUGUAACCCUGACGGUCCUAAGGUAGCGAAAUUCCUUGGCAUUUAAUUGGUGUCCUGCAUGAAUGGCGUAACGACUGUCCCACUGUCUCCAGCACAAGCUCAGUGAAAUUGAAUUCUUCGUGAAGAUGCGUAGUACCUGCGGCUAGCCGGAAAGACCCCGUGCACCUUUACUAUAGUUAUAUGUUGUGUUAAGAAUUUUUGUGUGUAGAAUAAGUGGAAGUUGUUUUACCACUUUAAAGAGUGAUAGAUAAAGUAGAUUUUUGCACAAGCAAAUUAUUUAAACACCUGUUGAAAUACCACUCUCAAAAGUUUUUAGCACUAACUAUUUAAGACAGCGUAUAAUGGGUAGUUUGACUGGGGCGGUCGCCUCCUAAAGAGUAACGGAGGCGUGCAUAAGGUAAGUUUGAAUUGAAAAUUAUCAAUUCGUAAGCAUAAUAGUAUAUACCUGCUUGACUGUGAGAUUGACAAAUCAAACAGGGACGAAAGUCGGUUAUAGUGAUCCGGUGAUUCUGAGUGGAAAGAUCAUCGCUCAACGAAUAAAAGGUACGCCGGGGAUAACAGGCUAAUCAUUCUCUAGAGACCCUAUCGACGGAAUGGUUUGGCACCUCGAUGUUGGAUUAUCGCAUCCUGGAGCUGUAAGUGGUUCCAAGGGUUUAGCUGUUCGCUAAGGAAGGCGGUACAUGAUCUGAGUUUAGAACGUCGUGAGACAGUUUGGUCCCUAUCUACCGCAGGUGUUGAAAACUGAGAGGAUUAAACCUUAGUACGAGAGGACCGGGAAAAGUGAAUCUCUGGUGAAUCGGUUGUUAGACCAAUAGCAUUGCCGAGUAGCUAAAUUCAUAAUAAAUAAUCGCUGAAAGCAUCUAAGCGAGAAGUUAACCUUAAAACUAGUUUUUAAAUAAAUGUAAAAGAUUAUUACAUUGAUAGGCUUGAAGUGUAAGAACUGUAAAGUUUUUAGCUAACAAGUACUAAAAAUUUUAAUUAUUAAAACUU
rnacentral:rRNA from 1 species